GGGUCAGGUGUUUAAGCCCCAGGCGGCGGAUGCUCAAACGGUCGUAUCUCAACAUUUGGUCCUAAAUCCGCCAUUGUGGUCGCAAGUGCUGCCCCGUGCGAUGUUCAAAAAACGUCCUAGACGCCAUCUUGUGACGUCAGGUCGCCCCUCAGCCUGACUGCUCGGGAGCGGGGCUAGAUCCGACCAGUUUCCGUCCUAGCCCGUCGCCAUUAAAGGAGUGUUUCCGCCUCAUCCACAUCUCCACCUCUAUACACAAUAUAAGAUGGAGCUUGUUGCGGCAUACAUUUUCAAUCGCAGACUGUGCAGGGAAAGGAGAUAUCGGGACCCACUCAACCCACUACAUGUCAGUGAUGAACACCUGUUGCAGGUGUAUAGAUUUCCCCGUCAGGAAAUCAUCAGGCUCUGUGAUGAGUUUCGCCCCCACCUGGAAAGGCGAACCAGGAGGGCACACGCACUCCCAACACACACCCAGGAGACACUGCGUAUCCUCUGGAGCCAUUCCUGAUGACCCCAGUUGCACGGCCGACAACACCUGGGGAGGAGCGCUACAACAAGUCAUCACAGGACAAGAUGCGUUGUCGAACGGACCUUUGGGAUCCUCAAGUCAAGGUGCAGGUGCCUACAUAAGUCAGGAGGAAGUUUGCAGUAUGACCCCAAGAAGACUAUGAAGAUUGCGACUUCUUGUAUGCUCCUGCACAACUACUGAGUGGAUCGCUGCAGAAGAAGUAACAGUUCAGCCUGUGAGAAACAACAGACUGAUUCCUGGUCAAGUUGUCAGGCAGGAAUUUAUUAGAAACUUCUUUUCCUGAGUAUAGAUUGCAUAUGGUGCACCGGUGGCCGAGUGGUCAGCGUGUGUACGUGGUGAUCCAGAGGACUCUACUCCCACCGCAAGACGCUGAGAGUUUUCAACCAUUGACAAGUGGUGGAGGGUUACCAACAUGCUGCCCAGCAGAUCUUCAGUCAACCCUAACUUCAGCGUCUUUGUUCAAGAGGGGCACCACCUCCACACCACUCAUUCUUAUCACCUAGUUUGAUACCCUACUUGUCCAUCUCACAUGCCCCAUGUAUCUCAGCAUUCUGCACUCUUGGCUCCAUGUCAUCCUCUCCAACUUGUUGGUUCGUAUAGCAUAACCGGCCUCACAUACAUAGAAGUGUUCAAUAUACCUAGGCUAUAAUAUUAUAUUUAAGGACUCUUAUACGAGGUAUCGCCCCAGACAGAGGUGUCGAAGUAAGUCUGUCUGAUGGUAGGCUGGCUGACUGCUGUCGGGACCCAAGCCAGCAUGCCCUGGGGGUUGUGUGCGGGAGGAGGAAAGAGGGAAAAGGACAAAUGGUGUGUGUGUCAUUAUCAGGGGUAACCACGGUGGAGUGCAAACACUCAGUAGUUGUAGUCAAGGCUUAAUUAAGUUGAUGAGUGGUGUUAGACUGAAUGAGCAGGUUUUUUACCACAUGUUAGUGGGAACACUUGAUAGGUUUUGUUUGUGUGUUGGUGCUACUUGUUUCUUGUGUUUACAUGUUAGUUUAUAAUUAGACUGAGUUCUAAGUGUUAUGAGCGACAAUUUAGUCUUGUAUGGCUGAAUCCUGUCCCUUGACCCUUAAUUCAUCAUCAGAAUCUUUAAACAAAUAUAUUUACCUUAAGUAAUAUUCUUCAAGUCACGCUGCCCAUAUUAUUUGGCAGAUGAUAACCCUGUAUGCGAUAACGGUGCCUUAUAAGACUUCGUAAAUAAACUACUAAUUUUACUCUCUGGUUUAAGUGAUCAACAAUUAAUUCUACUUUGAGGUAUAAUUAACCAACAUUAUUAAGGAGUGCCCAUGCCAGGCACGACAUUAAGAAUAUUUUUCUGUUGACCAGCAGACUUACUAUAGUCAAACCAUUUCAAAAUGUCUGUUGAGGCAGUGGCUUCUGCAGGUCCUUUCCUCCCUUCUGCUUUGCCACACAGUUCCAAUUACCUAUUUCCUCUGUUUCCUGUCCCCUCUUUCACAAACUGGGCACCUGUAAUGCACCCCUACUUGAUUUACAUUUCUCAGCCCUGAGCAUCUCUUUGUGGCACCACUUAACACUCCCUGUGCACAGGGCAGAGUUAGUAGCCAUUUCUCUUCCACACCAACUACCUUCCUGUAUAUAUGAUUUCUCAGUAAUUACUUAUUUGUUGUGCUGUAUUAGCUGUUACGUGCUACAUCAAGCUGUAAUAUCUACCCAAGCUGCGGGUUAAUUCAAUAAAAAAAAAA